rnacentral:rRNA from 1 species
GGACGAACGCUGGCGGCAGGCUUAACACAUGCAAGUUGAACGGGAUUUGUGUGGUGCUUGCACCAUAUAAUGAGAGUAGCGCACUGGUGAGUAACACGUGGGAACGUGCCUUUUAGUGGGGGAUAACAUCUGGAAACGGAUGCUAAUACCGCAUACGCCCUGAGGGGGAAAGAUUUAUUGCUAAGAGGUCGGCCCGCGGUAGAUUAGGCAGUUGGUGGGGUAAAGGCCUACCAAACCUACGAUCUAUAGCUGGUCUGAGAGGACGAUCAGCCACAUUGGAACUGAGACACGGUCCAGACUCCUACGGGAGGCAGCAGUGAGGAAUAUUGGGCAAUGGAGGCAACUCUGACCCAGCCAUGCCGCGUGAGUGAGAAGGUUUUCGAAUUGUAAAGCUCUUUCGGGUGUGAAGAUGAUGACGGUAACACCAGAAGAAGCCCCGGCAAACUUCGUG